rnacentral:misc_RNA from 1 species
AAGAACACUAUUUCAUUUUUCUAAUAUUCAAAUAUACACGUAAACAAACACGCUUUAUGCUAAUUUAUUUUUUAUGUUAAAUAGUUCGCUUGAGGCUUCUUGCAUUUCUAAUAUCUUUUUAUUUCGUUUCAAUUUUUUAUACUAUAUAAACAUGUAAUAAUCAAAAUAGGAAAAAACCACUAAUCAUAUAUUUGUAGUUUUUCAUUUAGAUCUAUCAAAUCCUUUUAGAUAUAGCCUCUCUCUCACACACACACACACACACAUACACGCACACAUAUUUAAAUAUACGUACAUAGAUAAGUAUGCGCUAGAAUGGUUCUUCUUUAAUGCAAACUAUUUGACCUUGUCGAACUUUGCGUCAUAACUCUUGUCGUUUGCCAAAUCUAGUUUUUGAAUCUGUAACUUAAUUCGAAAUCAAGAAUAAAUAUCUUUUAGUUUAAUUAUAUUUAUUCGUUUGUAAUCAAAUAGUUUAAAUAUUAAAUGACUAUUCUCGUGAUUUUAAAUUGGAUAUAUACGAGUUUGUUAAAAAAAAAGAAAAAGAAAAAAGAAAACUAGUUUAUACGUUUACUAAUCAAAUCAAUGACUAAACAACACGAUGUUGAAAGAAGAAUCGUUCGUUACUGUGUUAGAGAGAAAAAAAGAAAAAAAAUUCGAAUAAUCUCGUAAAAACGUUCCUUUGUUUCCAUUAUUACCGGAGACCGUAGAACUUACCGGUCACUGACCAGGUAGAGCAAUACGCUUGCUUGGCUAUUUUAGAUUCCAUUCCCAAAGUACGUAUGUUGGCAGCCGACUCUAAAUAGUGACUUUAAACACACAAAAUAAAAUCAAUUCUUACACUCUCGGAGACUCGUCUUGUCGCCAACUAUUCCUAACUGUACGACGAGUAGCUUCCGUAAAAUUUAACUCUUGCUAUUAAUCUAAUAAUUCAUAUACGUUAAUCAUAAAUCUUAUAUAAUACAGAAAAUAAAAAUGUAUACACAUUGUGUUCGUGUGUGUAUACAUUUACGAAUUAAAUGAAAUUAAUCAAACGUAAAAUAUAUAUUUGAAUAAAAGAAAAAGAAACGGUAAAUAAAAUUGGAUCUCGUUAAUUUUAUUCCAAGGAACAUCAGGGAUGCAUCAUAUUGUGUGGGGAUGAAUACAGCCGAUGAUGUCAUCACAGUGGACAGAUGAUAUCAAGGAUGAAAUAAUUUUUAUUUAUCAUAUCGAGAGGGAGAAAGAAAAUAAAAUUGAUAAAACUAAAUGAUAAUGGAGAAGAGUGUGAAGGAGUGGGGGGAAGGAUUCACGGACUAAGGAGAAUGGCAAAACAAUGUUUUUCUUUCUUUAUUCGUUCACAGGAGAAUCGUCGUCUAUUGCUGAUGUUGCUGUUGGUGGUGCACAUCGACCUGUCUUACCACUCUCGAUGAUGCCAAGAAACUGAAUCGGAAACUCGAGCAGUUGCGAAGGUGCACGAAUAAGAAAGUAAGGCGGGCUAAUUGUAAGUAUAGUGGUGUACGGUUUGCGCAUCAGCUGUGCGUUCGUUUAUUACUUUGGUUCAGUCUCACGGAAACAUCCGAACGCGUGAUACGUGGUUUUACGAGUAACGACGGCGGACGAGGACAAUAUCUUGCCGAUAUCCAUGGGUUACCGGUUAUUAUAUUAUUCAUUGAACAAAAACUUGGAUUGAGAAUUAAAACAGAAAAAUAAACAAAGAUGGAAUUACAUAGCAGUCCGGGCGUAACGUCAUCGAAAAAAAUUUCCGUUCAUGGUGAUGAGACAGCAUUCAAGGAAUCUCUUGGAAAUGGCGGUACUUACGGAGCAUUCCAAUCAAAGGAUCCGAUUUUAUCUAUAGAAAAAGGUGGAGAAAUGAUACAUGGACCUGACGAACAUGGAAUGACUGUAGAUCAUCCUACUUCGUAUAUUGAGACCAUGAUGCACCUGUUCAAGGGUAACGUCGGUUCCGGUAUUUUUGCAUUAGGCGACGCUUUUAAACAUGCAGGAUUAUUAUUGGCACCACCAUUAACCAUCUUCCUCGGUGUCAUUUGCGUCCACGCUCAACACAUUCUUGUACAAUGUAACGAAGAAGUUAAACGUCGUAUAGGUGAUUCAACUAUUCAGCCUAGUUUUGCUGGUACUGUUGAAUUAUGUUUCGCUACGGGACCAUUAGCUCUUAGAAAAUAUUCCGUUUUUAUGAGAAAAAUGGUUAAUUUAUUUUUAUGCGUAACACAACUCGGAUUCUGCUGCGUUUAUUUCGUUUUUAUAUCGACCAAUAUGCAACAGGUAUUGGAUGCCCACAAUGUUAAAAUGAGCGUUCACCAACACAUGGCAAUAGUUUUGAUACCAAUUGUACUCAGCACAUGGAUUAGAAAUUUGAAAUAUUUGGUACCUAUUACAUCCAUAGCCAAUUUCUUGGUAACAGCUGGUUAUAUUGCAACAAUUUAUAUUAUGAGUCAAGAUUUACCAGCAAUUUCUGAGAGAAGGUAUGUCGCCGAUUGGCAUGAGUUGCCACUAUUCUUCGGCACUGUUAUAUAUUCCUUCGAAGGUAUCACUUUGGUGUUACCAUUGAAAAACGAAAUGAAGAAACCAAGUAAUUUCAACAAACCAUUGGGAGUUUUGAACGUAGGUAUGGUCAUCGUGGCUUUUAUGUUCGUAGCAAUGGGUUUUUUAUCUUAUUUAAAAUAUGGUGACGAUGUACGUGGUUCAGUCACGUUAAAUCUCGAAUUAAAUGAGGUAGUGGACGGGAAAAAGAUCUACUCGCAGCUUACCUCAGUGCAUCAAGAUUGCUAUUUCUUUGAGCAUUUUGUUGACCUACGCAUUACAAUUUUACGUACCAAUUGCUAUCAUUUGGCCUGGUAUUGUUGAACAAUUUGGACCAUUUAAAUGGCCAGUAGUAGCAGAAAUUGUUUUUCGAUCUGCUGUAUGUUUUGUUACUUUUGUAUUGGCCGAGGCAAUACCAGAACUGGGUUUGUUCAUAUCAUUGGUUGGUGCAGUUAGUAGUACAGCACUGGCAUUACUAUUU